rnacentral:rRNA from 1 species
CCCCCAGACUCCUACGGGAGGCAGCAGUGGGGAAUAUUGCACAAUGGGGGAAACCCUGAUGCAGCAACGCCGCGUGAGUGAAGAAGUAUCUCGGUAUGUAAAGCUCUAUCAGCAGGGAAGAAGAUGACGGUACCUGAGUAAGAAGCCCCGGCUAACUACGUGCCAGCAGCCGCGGUAAUACGUAGGGGGCAAGCGUUAUCCGGAUUUACUGGGUGUAAAGGGAGCGUAGACGGCCAGGCAAGUCUGGAGUGAAAGCCCGGGGCUCAACCCCGGGACUGCUUUGGAAACUGCCAGGCUGGAGUGCUGGAGAGGCAAGCGGAAUUCCUAGUGUAGCGGUGAAAUGCGUAGAUAUUAGGAGGAACACCAGUGGCGAAGGCGGCCUACUGGACGGUGACUGACGCUGAGGCUCGAAAGCGUGGGGAGCAAACAGGAUUAGAUACCCCCGUACA